GUUCCAGUUGUCCAGUUGAGUCUUCCCAGCUGAGGAUCUAUUUCAUACCCUUCAUCUGAAAGACACCUGACUUUGGAAAAGUUCCUCCAUCUGGUUCAGAGCCUGGUCACACAGAAUUUUCCUGGCACAAACGAGUGGAAAGAGCACUUUGGCAUAGAGGGGAAAUGAGCAACAGAGGGUGAAAGGUGUCUUGGCAGACACUUCCAAUUUGUGUCCUUAUCUCACAGUCUCCAGGCGUCUUCAAAGGCUUUUCCAGC